UAUCUAAACGGGAAGNUUNNAUAUUGCCCUCAAAAGCAAUGUGCACUUCUUCCUUAGUAAGACGCUGUGAUCCAUUAGAAACGACCAUUCCAAUGGUUAUUUGGCUAUCAAUAGGCCGACACGAAGUUCUCCGAUACAAAUGACUCGAUCUUUGAUGGCUGGGUGUAUUGUUUGGGGAGCGUGCCGGUACCUGUGUUAUAGCUGUCUGAUGGAUUUUAAAGGUCAUAUUAUUGGUGCUUGCACCACUCAUACGAGAAUGAAUAUGUGCCCGAUCAACAGCGGUUAAAUUUGGGAUACCUUUUGGACCCGUCUUGAAACACGGACCAAGGAGUCUAUCUAACAUGCGAGUAAAUGAGUAUAUGAAACUUAUNUGCAGAAAAAACUUGACUGUUAUGGGACUACGUGUUAGUACUUGUGCUAGCACCUCCAUCCCGUGGUAUUUCUAUCAACAUACGCAGCAAUGUGUAUGGGAAAUAUACAAUGAGCAUGCUGGAUGGGACCCGAAAGAUGGUGAACUAUGCCUGAUCAGGUUGAAGUCAGGGGAAACCCUGAUGGAGGACCGAAGCAGUUCUGACGUGCAAAUCGAUUGUCGGAAUUGGGCAUAGGGGCGAAAGACUAAUCGAACUAUCUAGUA
rnacentral:rRNA from 1 species